rnacentral:lncRNA from 1 species
UUUUUUUUUUUUUUUUGUCUUUUCUAGGGCUGCUCCUGUGGCAUAUGGAAGUUCCCAGGCUAGGGAUCUAAUCAGAGCUGUAGCCGCUGGCCUGCGCCAGAGCCACAGCAACUCGGGAUCUGAACUGCCUCUGCGACCUACCUAUACCACGGCUCAUGGCAACGCCAGAUCCUUAACCCGCUGAGCGAGGCCAGGGAUCGAACCCGCAACCUCAUGGUUCCUAGUCAGAUUCGUUAACCACUGAGCCACGACAGGAACUCCAAAAAUUAAUAAAUAUUUUAAAAGAUAUAAUGCAUGAGGGAAAUUCAUUUACAAUAGCAAAAACAAAAGUUUCUUAGAAUAAACUUAAGCGUCUGUGCCUUUUAGGCAAAGACCCCCAGGAACACACCGUUGGCUGGACAAAUUGGGAUUAUUGUUGUCGCAUCAGAGAGCACACACUCUAGGGAAAUUAUAUCGUGUCUUGGUAAGCAGGUGCUGGAAAAUACUUAUUAUAGAAUUUGGUCUUGUGGUAGGUGACCUUGAGGAGGGUUUAAUGAAGGGGGCUUUACUCUGGGUUGAUGCAGGUCAGGAAAUGAGAGGACUUCUACGAAUGCUAUCUUAAUCACCCUUAUCUAACAGAGAAGACUAGACUGAGACUAAAGGGAGUUUUUUAAUGUUCUGACAAAAAAAAAUUUUAUGGUCACAGCACAGUUUUAAUUUCCCCUUAUUUAGCCCCUUAAGCCACCCUUAAUUUCCAAAGAAAGACAAUAACAAAACCAUAUUUCCACUAAACAAGAUUCAGCUAUCCUGCAUACAAACAAAACACACCAACCCUCUCAAAAAGAGGAUGCUGAAUCUUUGGGUGAUGUUCUGUAACUUAAAUUUGAUAUGCUAUAACUUCAGUUCUGAACAUAAAGUUAACUAUGAUUGGAAUUCCCUUGUGGCUCAGCAGGUUAAGGGUCUGAUAUUGUUACUGCUGCUGCUGAGGUUGCUGCUGUGGCACAGGUUCAAGUCUAAGAAUUGGCAGAAAGGCCAUGACUCCGUUUGGAUGAGUCAAGUUAAACUUCUGUUCACUCAACUUAGAACUCUCUUCCUUUUACAGAUCAAGCGGGGAUUCAGUAGAAGGCCUAUUUUUUAUCUUCCAGGAACACCAUGGUCAACUCACCCAUGUGUAGGUCUUUGUUUUGUUUUUGUUUUUUAAAGAUUUAAUUGCUAUUUAAUCUUUUUCAACAUGGAAGUUCCCAGGCUAGGGGUCCAGUCGGAGCUACAGCUGCCAGCCUACACCACAGCCACAACACCACCAGAUCCGAGCCCCAUCUGUGACCUACACCACAGCUCACAGCAACGCCGAAUCCUUAACCCACUGAGCGAGGCCAGGGAUCAAACCUGCAACCUCAUGGUUACUACUCAGAUUCCUUUUGGCUGAGCCAUGACAGGAACUCCACAUUUCCCUGGUUAUUCAUGAUGUUGAGCAUCUUUUCAUAUGCCUGUUGGCCAUCUGUGUAUCUUCUUUGGAAAAAUGUCUAUUCAGCUCCUUCCAUGCAUAGGUCUUUGUAAGUCAGACUAUCCUGACUGAUGCUUUGCCUGCACUGUCCAUCACAGUAACCUUGACCAUCUGGUCUUGGGACAAAUUAGUGCUGUCACUUGACCUUGCCAACCGAGGAUCUCAUUCCCCCCAUGGAUUAGGGAUCCCAUUUCAAUGGUAGCCAUCGCUGCCAUCAUUUCUGACCUAAAGAGAAAAGAGGUCCCAGCUGCUGGAGCUCCUCUCACCAAUGAAUUGACCACAGUAGUGCAAUAUGUGUCCUCUAGGCUGCAAUAUGUGACCCUCCUAGGCUGGUAAGCAGUUCUUCCAUCAUCAACCCAUUCUGAUCACUUCUGCUCAGUAUAUCAAGGCAGUUCUGGCAUCUCAAUUCACUUAGUAUAGGCCACCUUUGGAUACAUGUUUCACUCAACCUCACAAAUAAUUAGAGCCCUUUUAACUCCUUCAGCUGACUCUCUGCUGAGUGGUCCCGACAGUAGAGUCUGCCAAACCUUUUCUAUAGAUGGCCUGAGGCUUUGCUGACCCAUCUGUCUUUGUCACAACUCUUCAGUUCUGCUGUUGGAGCACAAAAGCAAUAUGUAAAUGAAAGAGAAUAUUCCUAUAAUAUUUUCUUCAUGGACACCUAAAUUUGAAUUUCAGAAAAUUUUCCAGGGUCAUGAAAUAUGACUCUUCUUUUGAUUUUUUUUCAGCCAUAUCAAAAUGCAAAAAAAAAAAAAAAAACCUUAGCUGGCUGCAAAACACCUACAGCCCUUCGGGUUAUGAGGAUCCUUAAGAAGCAGAUAACCUCCCACCCAAGAUGAAGGGUUUCCCCUCUAAGGGAGGCCUUUAGAAUAAGAACAAAUGACAACAACUUGCUGUGUCUAUUAGGCUGCAAACUAAGAGGAACAGAUCUGAGUUUAUGUUAUUUACUCCGCUGGUCAUAAGGAAUGAACUGCUUUCUAGAAUUUUUGACCAGGAUCUUACUACCAAGUAGCAAAUCUAAUACUCUGUAUCCACUUCCUUUCCAAGCUCACUUAAAAAUAUCAGGCACCGGAGUUCCUGCUAUGGCUUGACAAACCCGACUAAGAGCCAUGAGGACGUGGGAUCGAUCCCUGGCCUCGCUCAGUGGGUGAAGGAUCUGGUGUUGCCAGGAGCUGUGGUGCAGGAUCCUUAACCCACUCUGAAAGGCCAAGGAUGGAACCCACAAGCUCAUGGUUCCUAGUCGGAUUUGUUAACCACUGAGCCACGACAGGAACUCCUGGAAUUUUUUUUAAUUAAAAAAAUUUUUUUAGGAGUUCCUGUUGUGGCACAAUGGGAUCCAUAUUGUCUCUUCAGUAGCCAGGAGUCAGGUUCAAUCCCUGGCCGAGCCCAGUGGGUUAAAAAAUCCAGUAUUGCCACAGUUGUGCACAGCUGCAGCUUGGAUCUGAUCCGUGGUCCAGGAACGCCGUAUGCCAGGUGCAGCCGAAAAAGAAGAAAAAUAAAAACAAAACAGCAGAGGAGUGGAUUUGGCCUACGGUCGCAUUUGCCAAUCCUUGCCUGGGGUUUAGAAUAUACAUCUUUAAUUCAUCUCAAUCUGAUUUCAAAUAAUAUUAUGCUACUUCACAUACAGUAAAAGAAACUGGUGACAAUAUACUCACAAGUCUUCCCUCCCAUCUUUUGUGUAUUAUUAUCAUAUAUUUUAUUUUUAUAUAUGCUAUAAAUCCACUUGCUAUUAUUUUUACUUUAGAUAGUUCAUUAUCUCUUAGGUGAUUAAAAUAGUCUAGACAUGUCUCUCUCUCUCUUUUUUUUUUUUUGCUUGUGCUCUCUUUUAUUUUUUUGGCUGUGCCCACAGCAUGCAAAAAUUCCUAGGUUAGGGACUGAAUCCAUGCCUCAUCAGUGACCCAAGCUGCAGCAGUGACAACACUGGAUCCUUAAUGAACUAGGCCACCAGGGAACUCCUAGAUAUGCUUUUUAUAUUUACUUUUAUUUUAACCAUUUUUUUGAUAUCUUCUUUUUUUUUUUUUUUUUUUGCAGCUGCACCUGCGGCACAUGUAAGUACCUGGGCUAGGGGUCAAAUUGGAGCUGCAGGUGUGGCCCUAAAAGAAAAAAAAAAAAAGACUUUUUACAGUAGCGGUCUGCUGGUAAUGAAAUCUUUCAGCUUUUGUUUAUCUGAAGAAGUUCUAUUUCCCUUCAUUUUAUUUAUUUUAUAAUUAUUUAUUGGCCACACCCCCCCCACAUGUGGAAGUUCCCUUGGCCAGGAAUUGAACCUGUACCACAGCAGCAACCUGAGCCACUGCAGGGACAAUGCUGGAUCUUUAACCCACUGAGCCACCAGGAAACUCCCUCACCUCAUUUCUUAAAAAAUUACACACAGUGAAAAAAAUCAUACACUGUAAAACUGGCUUUUUUGCAACACAGUUCUGUGAGUUUUGAGAUAUGUAUAGGAUCCUAUAACCACCACAAUCAGGACACAGAAUUAGCUGUGCUUUCACUAAAAAAAGGGGAAAAAAAGCUUUUUAUUUUGAAAUAAUUAUAGAUUCAUAGAAAGUUGGAAAAAAUAACAUAGAGUCCUAUGUACCCUUCACUAUUUCCUCUUACAUAACUGUUGAACAAGAUCAGAACCUAAUAUUGUCAAUUCAAAAAACUGACAUUAGCACAAUACUGUUAAUCAGCCUUAUUAAGACCUUAUUUACACUUCGCCAGUUUUUACAUGAAUUCAUAUAUCUGUGAGUGUUCGGGGGAUGUGGCUGUAUGCAAUUUUAUGCUAUGUAUGGACUCAAUGUUACCAGCAGCUUCAUUCAUGAAAGAUUCUCUUGCUGCAUAUAGAAUUCUGGGUUGGCAUUUCUUCAGCAUUUUAAAGACGUCAGCCCAAAGGGGAAAAAAAGAUGUCAGGAGCUCACUGCUGUGGCACAGCAGGUUAAGGAUCCAGCAUAGGCCAUAGCUGCAGCUUGGAUUUGACCUCUAGCCUGGGAAUUUCCGUAUGUUGUGGAUGCAGGGGAAAAAAAAAAAAAAA